ACCAGCUAAUGGACAAGGAACCAAAGGAAACGGUUAUGGUGCACAGGCUGGCUUGGCUAAUGGACAAGGAACCAAAGGAAACGGUUACGGUGCUGGAGCCGGUGUUGCCAAGGGAAACCAAGGCCAGGCCAAAGGUGUGUUAGCUGGGUUCCUCCCAGGACGUGGCAAUCCCAGCCCGGCAGCAGAUAAAGCAGGUAAGCCUGGAGCGUAGCACCCAC